UGACUUGGUGGCUGUACUGCAUCCUAUCUGU
rnacentral:piRNA from 1 species